AUUGAACGCUGGCGGCAUGCUUUACACAUGCAAGUCGAACGGUAACAGGCCGCAAGGUGCUGACGAGUGGCGAACGGGUGAGUAAUGCAUCGGAACGUGCCCAGCCGUGGGGGAUAACGCAGCGAAAGCUGCGCUAAUACCGCAUACGAUCUAUGGAUGAAAGCGGGGGACCGUAAGGCCUCGCGCGAUUGGAGCGGCAGAUGUCAGAUUAGGUAGUUGGUGGGGUAAAGGCUCACCAAGCCAACGAUCUGGAGCUGGUCUGAGAGGACGACCAGCCACACUGGGACUGAGACACGGCCCAGACUCCUACGGGAGGCAGCAGUGGGGAAUUUUGGACAAUGGGCGCAAGCCUGAUCCAGCAAUGCCGCGUGCAGGAAGAAGGCCUUCGGGUUGUAAACUGCUUUUGUACGGAACGAAACGGUCCGGGUUAAUACCCUGGGCUAAUGACGGUACCGUAAGAAUAAGCACCGGCUAACUACGUGCCAGCAGCCGCCGUAAUAC
rnacentral:rRNA from 1 species